rnacentral:tRNA from 1 species
GGCUCCCUAGCUCAACUGAAUAGAGCACUUGACUACGGAUCAAGAGGUUAUGGGUUUGAAUCCCGUGGGAGUCA